rnacentral:rRNA from 1 species
GGAGUUUGAUCAUGGCUCAGAUUGAACGCUGGCGGUAUGCUUAACACAUGCAAGUCGAACGGUAACAUCGGAGCUUGCUCCGGAUGACGAGUGGCGGACGGGUGCGUAACGCGUAGGAAUCUGCCUAUUAGUGGGGGGACAACAUGAGGAAACUCAUGCUAAUACCGCAUACGCCCUACGGGGGAAAGCGGGGGAUCUUCGGACCUCGCGCUAAUAGAUGAGCCUGCGUUAGAUUAGCUAGUUGGUGAGGUAAUGGCUCACCAAGGCGACGAUCUAUAGCUGGUCUGAGAGGACGAUCAGCCACACUGGGACUGAGACACGGCCCAGACUCCUACGGGAGGCAGCAGUGGGGAAUAUUGGACAAUGGGCGAAAGCCUGAUCCAGCAAUACCGCGUGUGUGAAGAAGGCCUGAGGGUUGUAAAGCACUUUCAAUUGGGAGGAAAACAGGCAGGUUAAUAUCCUGUCCCUUGACAUUACCUUUAAGAAGAAGCACCGGGCUAACUCCGUGCCAGCAGCCGGCGGUAAUACGGAAGGGU